rnacentral:rRNA from 1 species
CCUACGGGAGGCAGCAGUGGGGGAUAUUGCACAAUGGGGGAAACCCUGAUGCAGCGACGCCGCGUGAGUGAAGAAGUAUUUCGGUAUGUAAAGCUCUAUCAGCAGGGAAGAAAAAAGACGGUACCUGACUAAGAAGCCCCGGCUAACUACGUGCCAGCAGCCGCGGUAAUACGUAGGGGGCAAGCGUUAUCCGGAUUUACUGGGUGUAAAGGGAGCGUAGACGGCAAUACAAGUCGGAAGUGAAAUACCCGGGCUCAACCUGGGAACUGCUUUGGAAACUGUAUGGCUGGAGUGCUGGAGAGGUACGCGGAAUGCGCGGUGUAGCGGUGAAAUGCUUAGAUAUCGCGCAGAACCCCGAUUGUGAAGGCAGCGUACCGGCUCCACACUGACGCUGAGGCACGAAAGCGUGGGUAUCGAACAGGAUUAGAUACCCCAGUAGUC